UCUCUGGUGGCUCAGAUGGUAAAGAAUCUGCCUGCAAUGCAGGAGACUCAGGUUCAAUCCCUGGGUUGGGAA
rnacentral:tRNA from 1 species